rnacentral:lncRNA from 1 species
AAAUACUUGAGUCUCUGAAUUUUUUAUUCUGUAUCAUCAUCGUUUGCUUUGUCUAGUCAGAUGCCGCUACCACACUCUUUUGGUUGUAGAAGCUUAACAAUAUGCUUUCGUAUCUGAGAGAGCUAGUUCCCACUUCUCCUUCCUUUCUCCAAGUUUUAAAAAAGCUAUUUUGCUGUUUGUUUUUCCACAUGAACAUUAAAGCCAAAAUCAACAUGUGUGGCCCCAGAAACAAACUGUUGAUGUUAAAAUUGAAACUGCAUUGCAUUAGUAAAUAAGCUGGAAGAUUGUCAUUCAAAGUUUAUGAAUUCGGUUAAUCUUAUUGUAACCGGGUUUUUAGGGUGCGGGGGAGGCACAGCUCCCUUGAGAGAAUGUUAUAGGUUCUUGGUCUCCUAUCUUAGAGAGAGGGGACUGGUCAGCUCGUAAAGUAAAUACCGGGCCCAAGAAGUGUUGCAGAAAGGUGAUUUUAUUUAGGCAAAGAAAAGAGAAAAAAAGGAGAAGAGCAAAAACUUCCACGAAUAGUGUGGAAGGGAACUCCAGAGCAGGAAUCCGGCUGGGCGUGAGGACAAGGACUUUUAACAUAGGAGGAAUUCCCUCCUUCUCCAAGCCUCCCCGGCCAAUGAAAAGAGUUCCUUUAAACUUCCGCUAGAGUGAUUGACUUGUGACCUUUUUCCCCUCAUCCGGGAAAAUUAAAACAAAAACCAUUGAAUUUCCAGGAUGGAGAGAGAUGGGAGGGGGGCAUGGCUCUGGGAAGUUCUUGCCGUUAAAAGUACACCCCCUUGUAGACCUGAUGGAAUCUUGCUCUGUUGCCCUGGCUGGAGUGUAAUGGUGCAAUCUCAACCUACUGCAACCUCUGCCUCCUGGAUUCAAGUGAUGCUUGUGCUGGGAUUACAGGUAUGCACCACCACACCAGCUAAUUUUUGUAUUUUUCCAGAAAUGUGAUUUCACCAUGUUGUCUAGGCUGGUCUUGGACACCUGAUCUCAAAUCAUCCCACCUUGACCUCCCAAAGUGCUAGAAUUACAGAUGUGAGCUACCACACCUGGCCCAACUUAGUACUUUAAAGUAGUCUGUUUGGUAAUGAAAACUUUUUUAACGCCUAAGAGGGACAUCUAUAG